AGCCGCUGUCUGGUCUGUAACUGACGCUGAGGCUGAAAGUAUGGGUAGCAAACAGGAUUAGAUACCUGGUAGUCCAUACCGUAAACGAUGAAUGCUAAGUGUUGGAGGGUUUCCCCCUUCAGUGCUGCAGCUAACGCAUUAAGCAUUCCGCUGGGGAGUACGGCCGCAAGGCUGAAACUCAAAGGAAUUGACGGGGGCCCGCACAAGCGGUGGAGCAUGUGGUUUAAUUCGAAGCUACGCGAAGAACCUUACCAGGUCUUGACAUACUAUGCAAAUCUAAGAGAUUAGACGUUCCCUUCGGGGACAUGGAUACAGGUGGUGCAUGGUUGUCGUCAGCUCGUGUCGUGAGAUGUUGGGUUAAGUCCCGCAACGAGCGCAACCCUUAUUAUCAGUUGCCAGCAUUAAGUUGGGCACUCUGGUGAGACUGCCGGUGACAAACCGGAGGAAGGUGGGGAUGACGUCAAAUCAUCAUGCCCCUUAUGACCUGGGCUACACACGUGCUACAAUGGAUGGUACAACGAGUUGCGAACUCGCGAGAGUAAGCUAAUCUCUUAAAGCCAUUCUCAGUUCGGAUUGUAGGCUGCAACUCGCCUACAUGAAGUCGGAAUCGCUAGUAAUCGCGGAUCAGCAUGCCGCGGUGAAUACGUUCCCGGGCCUUGUACACACCGCCCGUCACACCAUGAGAGUUUGUAACACCCAAAGUCGGUGGGGUAACCUUUAGGAACCAGCCGCCUAAGGUGGGACAGAUGAUUAGGGUGAAGUCGUAACAAGGUAACCA
rnacentral:rRNA from 1 species